CUUUAAGUUUGGAUUUGAGUACAGUAUUAAAUAUUCUUUCUGUUCCACCUGUCCGCAACAAUGGUGGUGACAUGUUGCCAUAUUCGAAGCUCCAUUUCCUCCUUCUGUGGUGGUGAAUUGGAGAAAAUAUCUUUCCAUCAACUUCACCUCUGCCAGGUGGUAAUGGGUUUCUCUCAUGACCAGACCACAUUUUUUUCACCCAGAUCCCGAGCUCUCUCUUUGUAAGAAAGGUGGCAAGGCUGUCGAUAACACAGGUGUUGACUGUGAUAUCGCAGAGGCAGAAGUCAGCACUAAGGGAAGCAUACAAGAACAAGAAGUACCUACCUCUCGACCUUCUUCCCAAGAAGACCAGAGCCAUCCAGAGACGUCUUACAAAGCAUCAAGCAAUUGAAUCCUGACCCUGAUUCUUAUGGAUACGUUGAUAAUCUUUUAAUAAUUGAAAGAACUACAUAAUGAUCUGCUUUCUUUGGAUUAGUAUCAACAACCUUUUGCAGAAGAAUCAAUUCUUAAAGAUCUUCAUGGAAAUGAAUAGAAGUUUCUCGAUAAAAUUUGUGGUGACGGAAUCUAUAGAUUUUUUUGAGUUAACAAACAAAGAACCAUGACUCUAAUCAACAAAGUUGGCUGUAAAACCAGAAAUGUUGUUUGGGAAACAUGGAAAAGAGUGGCUAGGUAGCUUUGAAUCUGGAUCUAGCAAGAGUUGUAUGGCUUGUAAAAAUACAAAUUAGCUUUUCAGAAUAUGGACGCAUUAAGAUUGAAGAGAGCUCGGACAAGGUUAAUUGGUCCAAAACGUUUACUCUUUUCGCUUAUCUUAAAACUAUUUGUUAGUGUUUUUGGCAAAACUGGUUACUCUACUCAUUCUGGUAAUAUUCAGGAAGUCAAGUUAUUUUC